UACUCCUACGGGAGGCAGCAGUGGGGAAUUUUGGACAAUGGGCGCAAGCCUGAUCCAGCCAUGCCGCGUGUCUGAAGAAGGCCUUCGGGUUGUAAAGGACUUUUGUCAGGGAAGAAAAGGCUGUUGCUAAUAUCGACAGCUGAUGACGGUACCUGAAGAAUAAGCACCGGCUAACUACGUGCCAGCAGCCGCGGUAAUACGUAGGGUGCGAGCGUUAAUCGGAAUUACUGGGCGUAAAGCGAGCGCAGACGGUUACUUAAGCAGGAUGUGAAAUCCCCGGGCUCAACCUGGGAACUGCGUUCUGAACUGGGUGACUAGAGUGUGUCAGAGGGAGGUAGAAUUCCACGUGUAGCAGUGAAAUGCGUAGAGAUGUGGAGGAAUACCGAUGGCGAAGGCAGCCUCCUGGGAUAACACUGACGUUCAUGCUCGAAAGCGUGGGUAGCAAACAGGAUUAGAUACCCUGGUAGUCCACGCCCUAAACGAUGUCAAUUAGCUGUUGGGCAACUUGAUUGCUUAGUAGCGUAGCUAACGCGUGAAAUUGACCGCCUGGGGAGUACGGUCGCAAGAUUAAAACUCAAAGGAAUUGACGGA
rnacentral:rRNA from 1 species